UGACCUUGCCCGGAAACUGGAUUCCUCUGUUCCCUGAGAGAACAAAUGCAACAAAAGCAGAAGGCAGCACUUCAUACAUUUCUCCAACAAUAUGCCUCACCCUUGGUGUGGAGGGACUACCUCUCAAGGUGAGAGGAUAAUUUGAUCCCUACGUUUGUUUAUUCCUUGGCCUUU
rnacentral:sRNA from 1 species